UACGAAGGGGGCUAGCGUUGCUCGGAAUCACUGGGCGUAAAGGGUGCGUAGGCGGGUCUUUAAGUCAGGGGUGAAAUCCUGGAGCUCAACUCCAGAACUGCCUUUGAUACUGAAGAUCUUGAGUUCGGGAGAGGUGAGUGGAACUGCGAGUGUAGAGGUGAAAUUCGUAGAUAUUCGCAAGAACACCAGUGGCGAAGGCGGCUUACUGGUCCGGUUCUGACGCUGAGGUGCGAAAGCGUGGGGAGCAAACAGG
rnacentral:rRNA from 1 species